GACACAAGAAACUAAUAUACACUGAAUCACAGUGUGUGUGUGUGUGUUUGUGUGUGUGUGUGUGUGUGUGUGUGUUUGUAAAAGAGAGAUCAGCGGUUCUGUGGUGACCCAGUUUCCUAUAGCUUACAGGUUUCAAACACAGACCCACCCAAAAACCAGCAAACACAAUAGAGUAUUUCUUUUUUUUAUUAUCUAGAGUUAUUGUUAUUGUCUUUUAACUAGGGAUGGGCAUUUUUUCUACUUAAACUCUAAGUAAUUACUUGAGUGCACAUAGAAAAGUACACUGCAUCUCAUAGUUGUUCCAGCGUUUUAUAAUUCAUUAUUAUAGUCUGUUAUAAUGUAAUCUGUUACAAAAAGUACAAAAAAUGUAUAAUCAAAAUGUAAUGCAUCAUAUUUUGUAAGCAAUCUAUCUACAGGAGUCUGCAGUAAGUGUUUAUUUCAUUGUUUUACUUUGUUGUAUAGUAUUCAUUGCUAGAGUUUUGCUGUUUGUUUACUGUGUUGAACUCACGUCGCUUAAAUGUAUGUGGGUGUGUGUGUGCUACAUUGUUUUGACUUGUCCCAGGGUAUUCACUGCUAGAGUUUUUUGUCUAGUGUGUGUAAAACUAUCAUUGUUUUUAGUGUGUCUAUAAACAGUGCUUCAUUUGUUUUAGAGUAUUAUUUAUUGCUAAAGCUGUGAACAAAGCUGACUUCAUUCCAGCCUUCACCACACAGUCCAUCCUCAGCAUCCUUGCACUGACAGAAACAUGGAUAUGUCCAGAGGAUACAGCAGCACCCGCUGCUCACUCCAACAACUUCUCCUUCUCUCACACCCCUCGACAAGGUGGGGGAACAGGUCAGCUGGCAAAUUUUCUCGAGGAGUUGGAUGUCCUGCUGUCCUACUUCCCGGAAGAUGGUAGGCCACUUGUGGUUCUUGGAGAUUUCAACAUACACCAAGACAAGCCCCAAGUCACUGAACUUCAUGAACUUCAUGCUCUUCUGGCCUCGUUUGACUUGGAAGGACUAAGCACUACAGCAACUCACAGAUCGGGCAACCAGCUGGACCUCAUUUUUACAUGCCAGCACGUAUGACACUACCCAGCCCCUGGCUCUCUGAUGUCCUUCGUGAACAUCGGACUGACCUCAGGGCGGCUGAGAGGAGAUGGCAGAAAUCUAAAGAUCCAGCAGAUCUGGAUGUUUGAAAGGAAGAACUCCUCCGGUGUGCGCACUUCUCUAGAGUGUUGAGCACUGUCUCUGCCCCGGACAAAAAGUCAUUGCGCGCUGUGUUGGAGCAUGUUGCUGUAAUGAUUCAGACUGCAAGUGAGUUGGCGUUCGGUCUCUGCGUCGCAGUCCCGUAUUUCUCCCAGAAUCCUCCUCCAGGAGGGGGAAGUACUGCCCUCCAAGUACCUCCUGUUCUACAAAAUACCCUGGAGAAUCAGAACCAAAUACACCAAAC